rnacentral:rRNA from 1 species
GAUGAACGCUAGCGGCAGGCUUAACACAUGCAAGUCGAGGGGUAACAGGGGUGCUUGCACUCGCUGACGACCGGCGCACGGGUGAGUAACGCGUAUGCAACCUACCCAUAACUGGGGGAUAGCUUCCGGAAACGGAAAUUAAUACCCCAUAGUAUUAUAAUACCGCAUGGUAUAAUAAUUAAAGUUCCGACGGUUAUGGAUGGGCAUGCGUGCCAUUAGCUUGUUGGUGAGGUAACAGCUCACCAAGGCAACGAUGGCUAGGGGGUCUUAAAGGAUGGUCCCCCACACUGGUACUGAGACACGGACCAGACUCCUACGGGAGGCAGCAGUGAGGAAUAUUGGUCAAUGGGCGCAAGCCUGAACCAGCCAUGCCGCGUGCAGGAAGACGGCCCUAUGGGUUGUAAACUGCUUUUAUAUGGGAAGAAAACGUGAUACGUGUAUUGCAUUGACGGUACCAUAAGAAUAAGCAUCGGCUAACUCCGUGCCAGCAGCCGCGGUAAUACGGAGGAUGCAAGCGUUAUCCGGAUUUAUUAGGUUUAAAGGGUGUGUAGGCGGGACUCUAAGUCAGUGGUGAAAUCUCACAGCUUAACUGUGAAACUGCCAUUGAUACUGGAGUUCUUGAGUAUAGUUGAGGUAGGCGGAAUGUGUAAUGUAGCGGUGAAAUGCUUAGAUAUUACACAGAACACCGAUUGCGAAGGCAGCUUACUAAGCUAUUACUGACGCUGAUGCACGAAAGCGUGGGGAGCGAACAGGAUUAGAUACCCUGGUAGUCCACGCCGUAAACGAUGAUUACUCGUUGUUGGCGAUACAUUGUCAGCGACUGAGCGAAAGCAUUAAGUAAUCCACCUGGGGAGUACGUCGGCAACGAUGAAACUCAAAGGAAUUGACGGGGGCCCGCACAAGCGGAGGAACAUGUGGUUUAAUUCGAUCAUACGCGAGGAACCUUACCUGGGCUUAAAUGUAGAUUGACCCGUAAGAGAUUACGUUUCCCCGGGAGUAAUUGAGACAGGUGGUGCAUGGUUGUCGUCAGCUCGUGUCGUGAGAUGUUGGGUUAAGUCCCGCAACGAGCGCAACCCUUAUUUUUAGUUGCCAUCAGGUUAUGCUGGGCACUCUAGAAAGACUGCCGGUGACAAACCGGAGGAAGGUGGGGAUGACGUCAAAUCAUCAUGCCCCUUAUGUCCUGGGCUACACACGUACUACAAUGGCUAUUACAACGGGAGGCAAGAUCGUAAGGUGGAGCAAAUCCCAAAAAAUAGUCCCAGUUCAGAUUGUGGGCUGAAACCCGCCCACAUGAAGUCGGAAUUGCUAGUAAUGGCAGGUCAGCAUACUGCCGUGAAUACGUUCCCGGGCCUUGUACACACCGCCCGUCACACCAUGAGAGUCUGUAACACCCGAAGUCAGUAGACUAACCGCAAGGAGGUCGCUGCCGAAGGUGGGACCGAUGAUUGGGGUG